UGGGGAAUUUUGGACAAUGGGCGAAAGCCUGAUCCAGCAAUGCCGCGUGCGGGAAGAAGGCCUUCGGGUUGUAAACCGCUUUUGUCAGGGAAGAAAUCUUCUGAGUUAAUACCUCGGGAGGAUGACGGUACCUGAAGAAUAAGCACCGGCUAACUACGUGCCAGCAGCCGCGGUAAUACGUAGGGUGCAAGCGUUAAUCGGAAUUACUGGGCGUAAAGCGUGCGCAGGCGGUUUUGUAAGACAGAGGUGAAAUCCCCGGGCUCAACCUGGGAACUGCCUUUGUGACUGCAAGGCUUGAGUGCGGCAGAGGGGGAUGGAAUUCCGCGUGUAGCAGUGAAAUGCGUAGAUAUGCGGAGGAACACCGAUGGCGAAGGCAAUCCCCUGGGCCUGCACUGACGCUCAUGCACGAAAGCGUGGGGAGCAAACAGGAUUAGAUACCCCUGGUAGUCCACGCCCUAAACGAUGUCAACUGGUUGUUGGGAAGGUUCCUUCUCAGUAACGUAGCUAACGCGUGAAGUUGACCGCCUGGGGAGUACGGCCGCAAGGUUG
rnacentral:rRNA from 1 species